rnacentral:rRNA from 1 species
GACGAACGCUGGCGGCGUGCUUAACACAUGCAAGUCGAACGGAAAGGCCUAGCUUGCUGGGUACUCGAGUGGCGAACGGGUGAGUAACACGUGGGUGAUCUGCCCCUGACUUUGGGAUAAGCCUGGGAAACUGGGUCUAAUACCGGAUAUUCAUUUUUCCUCGCAUGGGGAUUUGUGGAAAGCUUUUGCGGUUGGGGAUGGGCCCGCGGCCUAUCAGCUUGUUGGUGGGGUAAUGGCCUACCAAGGCGACGACGGGUAGCCGACCUGAGAGGGUGAUCGGCCACACUGGGACUGAGACACGGCCCAGACUCCUACGGGAGGCAGCAGUGGGGAAUAUUGCACAAUGGGCGCAAGCCUGAUGCAGCGACGCCGCGUGAGGGAUGACGGCCUUCGGGUUGUAAACCUCUUUCAGCUCCGACGAAGCGCAAGUGACGGUAGGAGCAGAAGAAGCACCGGCCAACUACGUG